GACGAACGCUGGCGGCGUGCUUAACACAUGCAAGUCGAGCGGUAAGGCCCUUUCGGGGGUACACGAGCGGCGAACGGGUGAGUAACACGUGGGUGACCUGCCUUUAGCUCUGGGAUAAGCCUGGGAAACUGGGUCUAAUACCGGAUAUGACUCCAUGAUGCAUGUUGUGGGGUGGAAAGCCUUGUGCGGCUGGAGAUGGGCCCGCGGCCUAUCAGCUUGUUGGUGGGGUGAUGGCCUACCAAGGCGACGACGGGUAGCCGGCCUGAGAGGGCGACCGGCCACACUGGGACUGAGACACGGCCCAGACUCCUACGGGAGGCAGCAGUGGGGAAUCUUGCGCAAUGGGCGAAAGCCUGACGCAGCGACGCCGCGUGAGGGAUGACGGCCC
rnacentral:rRNA from 1 species